rnacentral:rRNA from 1 species
CUAUAGGGGUUUGAUCAUGGCUCAGAUUGAACGCUGGCGGCAUGCCUUACACAUGCAAGUCGAACGGCAGCACGGGAGCAAUCCUGGUGGCGAGUGGCGAACGGGUGAGUAAUACAUCGGAACGUGCCCAGUAGUGGGGGAUAACCCGGCGAAAGCCGGACUAAUACCGCAUACGACCUACGGGUGAAAGCAGGGGAUCGCAAGACCUUGCGCUAUCGGAGCGGCCGAUGUCAGAUUAGCUUGUUGGCGGGGUAAAAGCCCACCAAGGCGACGAUCUGUAGCUGGUCUGAGAGGACGACCAGCCACACUGGGACUGAGACACGGCCCAGACUCCUACGGGAGGCAGCAGUGGGGAAUUUUGGACAAUGGGCGCAAGCCUGAUCCAGCAAUGCCGCGUGUGUGAAGAAGGCCUUCGGGUUGUAAAGCACUUUUGUCCGGAAAGAAAACUUUUGCCCUAAUACGGUGAGAGGAUGACGGUACCGGAAGAAUAAGCACCGGCUAACUACGUGCCAGCAGCCGCGGUAAUACGUAGGGUGCGAGCGUUAAUCGGAAUUACUGGGCGUAAAGCGUGCGCAGGCGGUCUGUUAAGACAGAUGUGAAAUCCCCGGGCUUAACCUGGGAACUGCAUUUGUGACUGGCAGGCUAGAGUAUGGCAGAGGGGGGUAGAAUUCCACGUGUAGCAGUGAAAUGCGUAGAGAUGUGGAGGAAUACCGAUGGCGAAGGCAGCCCCCUGGGCCAAUACUGACGCUCAUGCACGAAAGCGUGGGGAGCAAACAGAUUAGAUACCCUGGUAGUCCACGCCCUAACGAUGUCAACUAGUUGUUGGGGAUUCAUUU